rnacentral:tRNA from 1 species
GCUCCCAUGGCGUAGUGGUCACUGCACUCGCCUAGCACGCGGGAGACCCGGGUUCGAUUCCCGGUUAGUAGCA